rnacentral:rRNA from 1 species
AAUGAACGUUGGCGGCAUGGAUUAGGCAUGCAAGUCGAGCGAGAAGGGUUUUGAAGCUUGCUUUGAAACCCGGAAAGCGGCGCAAGGGAGAGUAACGAGUAGUUAUCUACCCCAAGGCCCGGAAUAGCUGCGGGAAACUGCAGGUAAUGCCGGAUAAUAUCCCCGGAUCAAAGGUGUGAUUCCGCCUUGGGAGGAGACUGCUUUGUACUAGCUAGUUGGUAGGGUAAUGGCCUACCAAGGCUACGAUGCAUAGCGGGCGUGAGAGCGUGGCCCGUCUCACUGGGACUGAAACACUGCCCAGACACCUACGGGUGGCUGCAGUCGAGAAUCUUCGGCAAUGGGCGAAAGCCUGACCGAGCGAUGCCGCGUGCGGGAUGAAGGCCCUCGGGUUGUAAACCGCUGUCGUAGAGGAGAAAGGUCUGAUGAAGAAUCAGAUUUGAUCUAUUCUAGGAGGAAGUCCGGGCUAAGUUCGUGC